AACGCACAUUGCGCCCUUUGGUAUUCCGAAGGGCAUGCCUGUUCGAGCGUCAUUAUCACCCCUCAAGCCCCGUGCUUGGUGUUGGACGGCCUGGUCGCGGUGACGUGACCCCUCCUAAAGACAAUGACGGCGGCCUGUGGUUCCCCCGGUACACUGAGCUUAUAACUGAGCACGUAUCGGACAAGGGCGCCCAGAACCCGGUCUUCUCCCCCCGCGGGAAAUUUUUCAAUGGUUGACCUCGGAUCAGGUAGGAAUACGCGCUGAACUUAA
rnacentral:misc_RNA from 2 species